CUCACAUCUCUUAGUACCUUCUUAUGAUACCUGAAUCCUCUAUGAGAACAGCCAUCAUCAUUUUCUUCUCAAGAGUUCAAGUAUAAUCCCAAAACUUAAUGGAGUGACCUGUCGGAACUCUUGAAAGACAUUAGAGAAGAUAACCAAACCAAACUACCUUAUCUACCAGACACUACAACUGGUCCUAUAGCCUUGACUAAUAUUCAUACUUUUCUUUCUUUCCCAUCCAUUUUAGACUUUUUCUCCUUUCAGCCAGUGAGUCAAAUAGUUUGCUUUACUUGCUUGAUGUAGUAUCUCAGGAUAGUUAUCCAUUAAUUGCUUCAGAAUCCUUCUCAACCUAACAUUCCAUGGAACCACAAGCAAAUAAUUACCGUCAGCACAUGAGAUGAAAUAACUUCUUCUAAUAUUAAGCAGAUAACAAAGAUGACAAAAAAUCUGAAUGUAUGAAGCAAUAUGAAAGAUUGUUGAACAUAUAAGAUGAAGACUCAAUUGAUGCAGAACCAUCUACAAAUCUACAAGGAAACAUUAAAUAUCAAUGAACUGUAUGUGCCCACCUAUAGCUCUGUAACCUCACCUCUGCCCCUUUGGUCUUUCCAUGGUUUUCACUGUUUCUUAAUACUGGAGGGAAUUUUGUUCCUAUUUUGUUCUUCUGCCCUCUGCCAUGUGAGGAUGUAAAAGAAGGCCCUCAUCAGAUGCCCAGUACUUUGAUCUUGAACUUCCUAGCCUCCAGAACUGGUAGGAAACAAAUUUAUGCUGUUUAUGAAUUACCCAGCCUCAGGUAUUCAGUUGUAGCUACUCAAAACAGACUAUGACAUCUAGGAAGCCUGCUGUGGGGACUUCUGUGGCAAGUGGCAAAAUGGUGCUAUCACAAAUAUGAAGGGGUAGGAAGAAGCCAGGAGGAGAAUAUAGACGAAGUUCAAGAACAGUUUGCAGCACCAAGAAUGAUUGAUCCAAUUCAACCACAAAAAGCAUCUAAAAACUAGCCAGAGAGAAAACAACAAAACAAUACACACACACAGACAUACGCACACACACACAGUUAAAACACAUCUCUAACUUUGGGAGUUUAAAAGGCCCAGGAAAAACUGGCAAGAAUUCAUAGGAGUUAAAACUCACAUGUUGCUAACAGUCAUAAAUCACCAAAUCAUCAUUUACCAGUCCUUCUAGCUCAUAUGCCCAGAGACUAUUUAUAACCACAGCAUCAGAAGGGGGAGGCAUUAUGAGACCAAGAAUUUGCCUAAAUUUAACUAACUUGGAAGAGAUUGUUUUAAAGGGAAGAGAUGGAAUUACUCUAAAAGGUCAAGUAUAGAAGAAACAGAAAAGUUAGUAUAAUUUA
rnacentral:lncRNA from 1 species